rnacentral:tRNA from 1 species
AGAGAUUUAGGUUAAAUACUAGACCAAGGGCCUUCAAAGCCCUCAGUAGGAGUGAAAUUCCCCUAAUCCCUG